rnacentral:rRNA from 1 species
AUUGAACGCUGGCGGCAGGCCUAACACAUGCAAGUCGAACGAGUGGCGGACGGGUGAGUAAUUUCUGGGAAACUGCCUGAUGGAGGGGGAUAACUACUGGAAACGGUAGCUAAUACCGCAUACCAUCAGAUGUGCCCAGAUGGGAUUAGCUAGUUGGUGGGGUAACGGCUCACCAAGGCGACGAUCCCUAGCUGGUCUGUGAGGAUGACCAGCCACACUGGACCUGAGACACGGUCCAGACUCUUACGGGAGGCAGCAGUGGCGAAGAUUGCAAAAUGGGCGCAAGCCUGAUGCAGCCAUGCCGCGUGUAUGAAGAAGGCCUUCGGGUUGUAACGCAGGUGCAGCCGGGAGGCGUUACCCGCAGAGGAAGCACCGGCUAACUCCGUGCCAGCAGCCGCGGUAAUUC